CCCUUAGAUGUUCUGGGCCGCACGCGUGCUACACUGAUGCAUUCAACGAGUCUAAAACCUGGUCUGAUAGGGCUGGGUAAUCUUUUGAAAGUGCAUCGUGAUUGGGAUAGAUGAUUGCAAAUCUUCAUCUUCAACGAGGAAUGCCUAGUAAACGCAAGUCAUCAGCUUGCAUUGAUUACGUCCCUGCCCUUUGUACACACCGCCCGUCGCUCCUACCGAUUGAAUGAUCCGAUGAAUACCAUGGAUUGAGAGUACGAAUAGGUUCGCUUAUUUCUGCUGCUCGAGAAGUGGAGUAAAUCUUAUCAUUUAGAGGAAGGAGAAGUCGUAACA
rnacentral:rRNA from 1 species